AGGCAAUGGAACCACCAUAAUUGGUAAACUUAGUUGGCAGACCUAGAGUGAAUAGGAAAAGAGAUAAAGAUGAAGCACUUAAGAGACAAACUGAGUGGGUUGCACCAAGAAGAGGGAGAAAAAUAACAUGUUCAAACUGUGGGAUUCUUGGACACAAUGCAAGAGGUUGUCAUAAGUUUAAUCAGAAUAGUGAAGAAGGCACUUCUAAUACUGGACAAGUUAAGAGUAAGAAGAAAAAGAUGGAUAAACAAUGUGACAAGGGAAAAAAGCAAACAAAUGAGAGGCAUAAGACACAACCUACUCAAGAUUGCGCAUCAGAUGA